rnacentral:pre_miRNA from 11 species
AGCUCCCUCAGGAAGCUGGUUUCAUAUGGUGGUUUAGAUUUAAGUACACAAUGUCUAGCACCAUUUGAAAUCAGUGCUCUUGGAGGAAGAAUGGCAGCUCUU